AGGGCUUCAAUUUUUAGCUGCCGCCGCCGUCGUGCCCACCGUGGAGCCACCACCGUGAACGGUGCUCGAAACCAGGUAAGUCGCUCUUUUCUUUUUAUUAUUAUUAUUUUAAAAAAUAUGAAAUAGAGAUAAAAAAUGGAGAAAAAAGAAAACUCGAAGAGGGGGGAAAAAAACAAAUCACCUUCAAAUUCUAUUCGAUUAUCUGUUUUUGUAUUUUCAAUGGUGUUUUUUUGAUACAAUAUUCGUAACCUUACAAUCGGUUUACCAUUGGCUUUUAUACCGAAAAUAAUCAUAAUAAAAAAUAAUAAUAAAAAAUCCUAUAUCUUGCUUAUUGUGCUGUGGUUUGUGGUUUGUUUGCAGGAAGAACGUGCGUGGUGCGAGGGCGACUUGCUGCAACGUUCGCGGAGUUGCUGUGCAUGGGUGAGGCUGCUACGUUCGCGGAGUUGCUUUGCGUGGGUGAGACUGCUACGACAGAGGCGGCUGCUGAAGGGUUUCAGAUCGGGCUGUUCUUCCAAAUUGGGCUAGGGUUUGGGCCUAGUGUAUUGGGCCAAGGGUAUUUGGGUAAUGUAAUUUUGAGUGGGUUUAUUUGGUCUAAUUUGGGCUUUAUGUUUUAUUUUUUUAUGUUUAUUUAUUCGGGCCUGG
rnacentral:lncRNA from 1 species